GAGGGGAGUGAAAGAGAACCUGAAACCCUGCGUUUACAAACGAACUGAGUACUAUUAGAGAGUACGAAGUUGUACUUAUUGAAGAACGGGCCAGCGAGUUACGUUUAUGCAGCGAGGUUAAGGUGUUAAGCACUGGAGCCGCAGGGAAACCGAGUCUGAAUAGGGCUAAAGUUGCAUGAAGUAAACCCGAAACCGGGUGACCUAUCCAUGAGCAGGCUGAAGCGGUGGUAAGACAUCGUGGAGGGCCGAACCUGUGUGCGUUGAAAAGUAUAGGGAUGACUUGUGGAUAGCGGAGAAAUUCCAAUCGAACUCGGAAAUAGCUGGUUCUCCUCGAAAUAGCUUUAGGGCUAGCCUCACUAAAGAAAUGUACGCAGGUAGAGCACUGAAUUGGCUAGGGGGCCACAAAGCUUACCGAACCUUAUCAAACUUCGAAUGGCGUACAUGGAUGAGUGGGAGUCAGACAGUGGGAGCUAAGUUUCAUUGUCAAAAGGGAAACAGCCCAGAUCAUCAGCUAAGGUCCCAAAGUAUAGGUUAAGUGGCAAAGGAUGUGAGGAUGCUAAGACAACCAGGAUGUUGGCUUAGAAGCAGCCACUCAUUUAAAGAGUGCGUAAUAGCUCACUGGUCGAGUGAUCUUGCGCCGAAAAUGUCCGGGGCUAAACCUAUCACCGAAGCUAUGGAUUUACAUCGGAUGAUGUAAGUGGUAGAGGAGCAUCGUAUGCGGGCUGAAGUCGUACCGUAAGGAGCGAUGGACUGCAUAGGAGAGAGAAUGCUGGCAUGAGUAACGAGAGGGUGGUGAGAAUCCACCCCAUCGAAAGCCUAAGGUUUCCUGGGGAAGGUUCGUCCGCCCAGGGUAAGUCGGGGCCUAAGCCGAGGACUAGAUGGUCGUAGGCGAUGGACAACAGGUUGAUAUUCCUGUACUACUCGAAGCGUCUGAGAGAAGCAGUGACACAGAAGGAUAGGUCAAGCGGGUUGAUGGUAGAAUCCGUCCAAGCAUUGAGGCUGUGUGGAUAGUAAAGUACGUCCGCAUAAAGCUGGGGUGUGAUGGGGACAGAACAUAAGUAUGGAAGUGACUGAAUUCACGCUGGCGAGAAAAGCUGCUAUCGAGCAGAAGGGUACCCGUACCGCAAACCGACACAGGUAGGCGAGGAGAGAAUCCUAAGAUGAGCGAGAUAACCCUUGUUAAGGAACUCGGCAAAAUGACUCCGUAACUUCGGGAGAAGGAGUGCCACGAAAGUGGUUGCAGUGAAUAGGCCCAUGCAACUGUUUAUCAAAAACACAGGUCUGUGCAAAAUCGAGAGAUGAUGUAUACGGGCUGACGCCUGCCCAGUGCUGGAAGGUUAAGGGGAACUGUUAGCGCAAGCGAAGCAGUGAACCGAAGCCCCAGUGAACGGCGGCCGUAACUAUAACGGUCCUAAGGUAGCGAAAUUCCUUGUCGGGUAAGUUCCGACCCGCACGAAAGGCGUAAUGAUAUGGGCGCUGUCUCAACAAGGGACUCGGUGAAAUUGUAGGGCUGGUAAAGAUGCCAGCGACCCGCGACUAGACGGAAAGACCCCGUAGAGCUUUACUGUAGCUUGGUAUUGAGUUUUGACAUUGGAUGUACAGGAUAGGUGGGAGACUGAGAGAUGAUGGCGUCAGCUGUCAAGGAGUCGCCGGUGGGAUACCACUCUUCCGAUGUUGGAAUUCUAACAACGACCCGUGAACCGGGCGUUGGACAGUGCCAGGUGGGCAGUUUGACUGGGGCGGUCACCUCCGAAAGAGUAACGGAGGUGCCCAAAGGUCUCCUCAGCAUGGUUGGAAAUCAUGUGUUAGAGUGUAAAGGCAUAAGGAGGCCUGACUGCGAGACUGACAAGUCGAGCAGAGACGAAAGUCGGGCUUAGUGAUCCGGUG
rnacentral:rRNA from 1 species